AUUGAACGCUGGCGGAAUGCUUUACACAUGCAGGUCGAACGGCAGCACGGACUUCGGUCUGGUGGCGAGUGGCGAACGGGUGAGUAAUAUAUCGGAACGUGCCCAGUCGUGGGGGAUAACGUAGUGAAAAUUACGCUAAUACCGCAUACGAUCUAUGGAUGAAAGCGGGGGAUCGCAAGACCUCUCGCGACUGGAGCGGCGGAUAUCAGAUUAGGUAGUUGGUGAGGUAAAGGCUCACCAAGCCGACGAUCUGUAGCUGGUCUGAGAGGACGACCAGCCACACUGGAACUGAGACACGGUCCAGACUCCUACGGGAGGCAGCAGUGGGGAAUUUUGGACAAUGGACGCAAGUCUGAUCCAGCCAUUCCGCGUGCAGGACGAAGGCCUUCGGGUUGUAAACUGCUUUUGUACAGAACGAAAAGGUCUCUAUUAAUACUAGGGGCUCAUGACGGUACUGUAAGAAUAAGCACCGGCUAACUACGUGCCAGCCGCCGCUGUAA
rnacentral:rRNA from 1 species